GCGAGGACGCCGUCGUGGCCGGAUCGUGGCGCUGGACCUUCGGAGGAGCACAAAGUCUAGAAACAGCUGGAGCACUGGAUUUCUUACGAGAGACAAUGCAUCCUUUCACACAGCGCGACGGUGACACGGAUGAAACAGCACCAGGAUAAUCACGUAUACCAAUAUAAACAUAGGCAAGCCGCAAUAUGCCGGCCGAGAAUUUGGCGGAGACAAAAGAGAGUUUAAUCCCUUAACCUGGCAACAUGUUUCAUCUAGCUCCGUUAACUACUUAACUCCAUAAUUUGCAUCCGUUCCAACUUCCUCCAUGUACAGUCUCAAGGUAACCAAUCUAGGCCACACAAGCUUACAGGAACCAUCUCGCUGCCACUGGAGAUCGGCAACCUUGUGAGUCUGAAGAGCCUGCACACAGGAAAACAAAAAUAAUACCACCCAGCAUAAGAUUUGGUAUUGAACUUGGGAUACAACUAAGUAGUUACUUCCUCCGAUCCAUAUUACUUGUCGCAGCUUUAGUACAACUUUAUACAGUCGAGCUGUAGAGAACAUACUUAGUUAAUUGUUUGAGAUAGAACAUGCCUUUCUGACCACCUCUUCGGGCUUUGCCUGCUUUUCCCACUCGAUGUGCUCUUGCAUACAUGGCUAUAUUUCUUCUUAGGCCUUGUACAAUGCUAGGUGCUUAGGGA
rnacentral:lncRNA from 1 species